UAGGGCCUCCCGUCCGCGCAGCGCCGCGGCGGAUGGCGAGAUGUGAGGCGGCGGUGUGACCCCGGGGCGGGAAGGCCGGGUCAUGCUCCCGUCGUUUUUGCCUCGAAUAAACUCGACAAACUAAGUGGCAGGAGAGCGCCAGUUCAGUAGCAGUUUAUAUCCUCCUGUGAAUGCAACUGCUUCUUCUGAAUACCUCAAAUUUCGCGUGAACACCUCUAUCAGUGUGGUCUUGUGAGUAAAGAAAGUAAAGAAAAUCGAGACAUAUUCAGAAUUUAACAAGAGCAGCGUUAGCCUGGAAGAACUGCUUAGAAUUGCAGGAGCCCUAUCCACCAAGGGACAGCACAGCUAUAUAGGCAGAAGCUUUGGUUUCAGAACACAGAACAUUUUUCCCAGGGACAACGAAUUCAUUUGGAAGCGUAGUUUCCCAAGGAUUUGGUGCUGGCCUAACUCAGCCUCCUGUUACGAGUUUUACUGUUGACUUCAGUAGGAGCACAAAUAGGUGGGUGACAUUCCUGGUCAAGCAACAACUAUCACAUAAAGUA
rnacentral:lncRNA from 1 species